rnacentral:rRNA from 1 species
GUAGGUGGCAAGCGUUGUCCGGAAUUAUUGGGCGUAAAGCGCGCGCAGGUGGGUUCUUUAAGUCUGAUGUGAAAGCCCCCGGGCUCAACCGGGGAGGGUCAUUGGAAACUGGGGAACUUGAGUGCAGGAGAGGAAAGUGGAAUUCCACGUGUAGCGGUGAAAUGCGUAGAUAUGUGGAGGAACACCAGUGGCGAAGGCGACUUUCUGGCCUGUAACUGACACUGAGGCGCGAAAGCGUGGGGGGCAAACAGGAUUAGAUACCCUGGUAGUCCACGCCGUAAACGAUGAGUGCUAAGUGUUGGGGGGUUUCCGCCCCUCAGUGCUGCAGCUAACGCAUUAAGCACUCCGCCUGGGGAGUACGGUCGCAAAGACUG